GUAGGGAAUCUUGCACAAUGGGCGAAAGCCUGAUGCAGCCAUGCCGCGUGAAUGAUGAAGGCCUUAGGGUUGUAAAAUUCUUUCGUCAGGGAUGAUAAUGACCGUACCUGAAGAAGAAGCCCCGGCUAACUUCGUGCCAGCAGCCGCGGUAAUACGAAGGGGGCUAGCGUUGUUCGGAAUUACUGGGCGUAAAGCGCACGUAGGCGGACUUUUAAGUCAGGUGUGAAAUCCCGGGGCUCAACCUCGGAACUGCAUUUGAAACUGGAAGUCUUGAGAUCAGGAGAGGUUAGCGGAAUACCGAGUGUAGAGGUGAAAUUCGUAGAUAUUCGGUGGAACACCAGUGGCGAAGGCGGCUAACUGGACUGAUACUGACGCUGAGGUGCGAAAGUGUGGGGAGCAAACAGGAUUAGAUACCCCUGUAGUCC
rnacentral:rRNA from 1 species